ensembl:lncRNA
CGGGCUUAUCGACGGCAGCCGUGUUAGCCGAGCGCUGUUAUCAGGAUCAGCCCCUAGAAGAAGUGCUUGUGGACUGCUGGGCUGCUAGGAAGGAGGACUGAAUAUUGUGGGCAAUUAUGUUACAUAAUCCAGAGAAUCUGUUCCAUGGAGAUGGGCAGUACCACAUGAAGAACAUUCAGGGACUGGCAACAAUUUCUAGAUGCUGCUUGAUUGUGAGAAUAGAGACAUUUUUAGAGAUGCUGAAGAGACUGCCCAGGAACAAACUUGUACCUUUUGUAAUGGAUCAUUUCAGCCAUUUUAUGGCAGGUUGUGACAAGGUCUGCAGUUGAUGCAAAAUCCACUGAAUCCCACAGCAGAAGUGUUAGAGAUAGAAAAAGAUCUUUCUGAAAUCUACAGUGACCUUGAUAUAAUGACAUCAAGCACCCCGUCAGAGGUGUGAAAAGACUCCUCAGUCCAGGGUACCUGUGGUUUGUUGGAAAUGAGACACUGCCAGCACUGGGAUUUUGGGGAAGGUUUUCCGUCAUGGAGACAUUAAACAAUGAGACAGUGGUGAUGUUCUGACCCAUGACAAGUCAGAGACAUUUUCUGUGAGACGGUUGAAUCACUGUAUUUAACUAUUCAUCUGCGGAGUUUAAUGACACAUCUUAACUUCUUACUGAAGUGGUGGUGUUAUUUCAGCUUCUGUCACUGUCCUGAACUUGAACUUGCAAAUACAUGGUUUUCAGGGUCCUUAUGCUUAAGACAUAUCUCUACAUUCUGACAUUAUUUGGCAGUAAGAAAUGUCACUUUUUCCUCCAAGAGUGAAAAGGACCAGUCCUUUGGUCUAGGUGGCCAGUAAAGUAGUACACUGGUGCUGAAGGCAUUGUUUUUUUCUGGUCAUGAAGUCAUGGUAAAGUGCCCUUGAAGACAAAAGGAAGACGUAAGCUGUGAGGCAGCAGCAAGGCAAGGUGGGUGAUGUAACUAUUAGAAAUGAUUUAGUGAUGGUCGCAGCAUUUCCCAGCCUCAUAACUUACAUGAGCUGCCGAGUGGCAGCAAAAAACAAACUUGGUAAUUCAUUACUUGCUUUUAAGAGAGAUUAGAGGAUGCUGUUUGUUCCCUAGGAUAAUUAUAUGUUUGCAGUCCUUGCGAUGAUGGGAUAAAAUUUCGUUGAGCCAGGCAGCCUCAGCUGAAACCAAUGAAACACGAACAGCCUAGGCAAAAGCAAGUCCCCCUGAUACUUGCUAACACUUGUUGCACCAAGCCACGAAUGUGUGUGGCAACAGGUUUUGCCAUGAUGAGUGAGCCGGUCUUUUUUUGGCAUCCUUACAGUUAGUAGGUUACUAAAAAUGAGUCUCAGGACAAGGUCUUACAAAAUUUAAUUAGGAUCUGUAGAGCUGCAAACAGGCCCCAGCAGUUCAGGAAAAGUCUUGCGAUCAUUGGAAGAAACUGGAAAUGAUAGUAGCUGACAUCUAUACAAGUGAUAAACUUGUCAAGGGAGCUUAGGGCUGUUGAAGUGAACUUGAUGCAGUAUUUUUGUUGUCAUUACUCCUUGAUUCUCAAGAAGAGGAAUGACAACAUCGUGGAGCUACACCGGGGCAUAUGGAUUAGAAAGAAGGCUGGUUAUAGCCAACAAAAAAACAAAAACAAAUGAACAAACAAAAACUAAUGGCACAUAUGAUAUGUAUCUAGUGCUGAACCAAGAAAUCAGCUUGUUUUUUUCAGGGGUGGAAAUUAGAAAGCUAAUAUUCUAUACCUAGACUGGAAGCUUUGCUGCUAAGUAGUGGGUUUUCUUUGUUUUUUGUUUCUUUUUUUUCCCCUCAAAAAGAUAGUGAGUUGAACAACUGAAAAAAAAAAAAAAAAGUCUUAUCUUUGUUGGAGGAACUUGGCCAAAAGUGAGGGCAGAAAAAGGAAAAGUCUGCCAAAUCAAAACAAGCAGAGGAGAUAAAAUACUGAAAAAACUGAAAUUCCACAAACAGGAAAUUCUCAAGUUAGAAUGAGCAAUACAGCGAAAUUGCAGUUCACUGUGAGGAAAUGCUGACUCAGACCUGUAGCUGAGGUGAACUCAGAUGAUUCUAUGGUUCUAUGAAGGUGUUAGGACAUGCUGCAGUUGCUUAUGCUGCAUGUGUGAGCUACCCAUGAAUUUAAAAUGCUUUUGGCAACUAUGAAAAAAAUGUUUGUAGUGAUUCUGCAUACACAACCCAAAGUGUAGAUGUGUCCUUGAACAAAUGCUUUGUGCAGAACUCUUGGAAAGGGGGCAAGAAGGCCUAACUAGAAAUAGCAGAAGAUGAUAAAAGAAAGGAGGGUGGUGUGCUAAGAAGGACUGGGAUUAUCUUUCCUAUUGGCCACAAAGAUGUUUAUGAGAUGUUUAUGAGUCCAACAAGAGGUAUUUCAGAAAAAAAAUCAGUCUUCCAUCGCCAAAGUAGCUUAAUAUUUGAGCAAGAUAAGAUCUGAAGAACAACGAGCCGAGCCUAAAUAUGGGCUGGCAGAUGUGAUAUUAGAAAAAGUUGUUCUGAAAGCUCAUGACCAGAGUUGAGUCUGCUUUGCUGAUCUUCAGUCAGUCUGUGUUAGAUUGAUGUAAUUUUGGAUUCCUUCUGAUAAUGAAUUCUUAGAAAACUCACAUAAGUGACCCUUUUCAUCAUUUCCAGUGAGAAAGGAAACAGUUCUAGUCAGACUAAUAGUGGCUGAUAAUGCUUAUUCACACCUUCCUUGUGUUUUGUUCCUAUAAUAAUUUUCCAGUUAGUGCAGAACAAAAUCACAUGAAGUACCUUUUCAGAUUUUACAGCAAUUGCAUUGCGAGGCACAGAAUUUCAAGUGGAGCUCUUGCUCAUGGCUCUCAACUUCAAAAUGGAGCAGGGAUAGCUCAGCUCUGCACUUUGGUUUCUCCAUUGCACAGUGGAGCUUGCCAUGCUGAGACUAAAACUAGUCCGUGUGAGAGCUGGUCCUAGGUAAUGGAAUGACUGAGCACAAAGAGAUAGCACUACCUCUUCAUCCUUUUUCCAAAUGCAAGGCAUACUUCUUAAUUAGUAUGUAGGGAGCAGGAUCAUAAAACAACUCACCCUUAAAAAAACCUGCCACGUUUAAAAUAGAAUGAGGUACCAGGUAUGCAAGAUUCCUACCACAUAUGUUCCCAUGCACAAAGAGAAGAUGUUAUAACAAACAACUUUAUGCUUCAAGCUGCUCUGUUUCAUAACUGUUAGUCAUGCUGUUUAAGGUUCUGUCCUGCUGGAAAGUGCCUAGCAAGAUCAUUGUGCUUUAAGAACUUGAAAGCAGUAGAAAAUAGUUCAGCUUGACUUACUUUGACAACCUUAAAUCUGCUUCCUGUGAAUUCUCGCAUCAGGGUAACACCCAGCUUCUGAAGACCUAUUCUGUUCUGGCAUGCUGGGCAUGUACUGAGCUAUUGUUAUUGUUGAAAAGGUUGGCUUUCUAAUAUUAUAGGGUAUAUGGAGAUUACAGAGGUGAAAUCUGCUGUGUGCAAACUACUGACAAAUUCUACUUUUCCCUUGCUAUACAUACUGUAGACAUAAAUCAAUACAGUGAGAUAGCACUUGAUUUCCAGGAAAACAGCUAUCAGUGAUGAUAUACAGUUAAUUGCUUUAAAGUGACGCAUAUUAAAUAAGGGAUCUUGACAGCCUUGUGCUUGAAGUUUUCUACUUGAGCCAUUUUAAAACACAAAGGGCUGGAGCCUGUCACUACAAGAAAAAUGAUGUAGGCGUCGUGGGGAAAUACAUUCUCAUCCAUAAAACCAAACUUAAGUUCCGUAUAAGAGAAUCCUUCAUUCAUUCAUUGAUGUUAUUCAGAACAGGUAAGUCUGCAUGUAGAAAAGUAUACUCAUCUGUGAGCAUUUUACAGAGAGAAAUGUCACUACAAAACAAACAAACAAACAAAAAAAGCAUUCUCACUAGGAAUCUUGUAUGAUUGAGAAAUUGAAAGAAUAGAGACCAGGAACAACUGAAGAAAUUGUAACAAAAUCACAGAACCACAGAAUGGCCCGGAUUGGAAGAGACCUCAGGGAUCAUGAAUCUCCAACCCCCCUGCCGCAGGCAGGGACACCGGCCUCCCCAUUUAAUUCUAGACCAGGCUGCCUAGGGCCCCAUUAAACACAAAAAGAUUGUGUAUAGAAUGAAAUAAACAGCAGAAUGAAAGUGAACAAAGGAGAAUAAGCUUUCAGU